AUUUCUGUGGGGAAGUUUGAUUUUAGGUCUUUCGAGGUGCUGUGGGUUUGGUUUUAUUUAUCACAGUUGCAGGUGUUUGUUUUUUGGUAUCAUCGGCUGUGGUUGACCUAUGUAGGUCAAGGGAAAUGUUUGGUUCCAAUUUUUGUCACCUGAUAUUGAAGCCAAUGAGUAUGUCGUGGCAAAAAUUAUUGUGGGCACAAAAUUUAAAGUUUGUUGCUGUAAGAGUAAUUUACUUGUCAAGAACUAUCACUAAUUGUCUGUGAAGUUUUUUGAAAUGUCUCAGUUUGGAUUUUAUAGAAGCAUUGUCAUGAAGUAUUGUCGUCUGGCAUUAUCAUGUGAGGGCAAUUCUAGGUAUUUGCAUGACAUCUUGUUGUUGCAGCUUGUGGUCAUUAGAGUAAAUGCUAAAUGUUCAUAUAUAGAGCACAUUAGAAGCCAACAUUCUGCGAGCUAAAGAUCAUGGAGGCAAUAAACUUUUGUACUUCUGUACAUUGUACCAAGCAGUAGCUGGCAGAAGGAAAAUGUUGAGGAAAUACAUGACGCUCUACAAGAAACAAUACAUAUUUAAACAUGAUACUAUAGAUUGAACUUAUAGUUGUUCGUAUGUAGGUAACAAAUUAUUCAAUAAAAUACCACUAUUUGUCUAAGUAUUUACUAAGCAUGCAUAUAAACAGAAUGUGCUUGGCUCAUGCCUGCCCCUUCUGCAGUGUGAAGGGAAAAUGAUUAAAUGUAAUUGCAGUACUUAACCUACUCUUCUUUUACAGAGAGUAAUGUAACAUUUAUUGACAUUAUCUGUUGGUGUAAUGGCACCAUUUGCCCUAAUGACUUGGUAAUAAGGUUAUUACUGUUAACCUAUCCUUCAGGUAUGUCACAUGGAGCACUUAACUAAACAAACUUCAUUCUCAGCUAAAGUUUGAUGCAAGCUAUCGAACUGUUCACAUUCCACCGCCUCACGGAACCACCCACUAUAACUGUUUUGAAGCCAUAGUUGCUUACACCAUUAUCUCAGAGGUGGAUGUGGGGAUGUAUUUGGGAGAGGAGUGAAACAGUCUGUCAGAACUAGUCAUACAGCAAAAAUUUGAGGGAGCCAUCUGGAGGUGGCAUUGAGGCAGCAACAACAUACAUCACAACCUGUCCGUGAUGUGUCCGGUGCCAUCACCACAUACUGUUCAAUUGUUGGCUACCCUCACCACAUGUGGGGGUAUCAGCGACUCCUUAGCAGCAUCCGGGCCCAUCGUGGAUGCCGUCCAUGUGUGUUGGACCAUCACAGGUGCAUUGGUCAUACAAUUUUGAUGCAAAAGUGAACCUGAAAACAUGAUAAAACGUGGACGCCUCUGCAGAAAGCUCAGUGUGUGUGGCCCGGUAGAUACAGACGAUACCUGAUGACCAAAUGCAACGAACCUUUCAGACUUGGAAUACAUCAUUUAUGGAAACAGGUCAUGCAAUUUUGAUGCGAAAUGGAACCUGAAAACCUGAAAAAAUGUGGAUGCUACUGGAUAAAGCUCAGUGUGUGUGGCCUGGUAGAUACAGACGAUAUCAGAUACCCAAGUGCAAUGAUCCUUUCGGACUUGGAAUACAUCAUUUAUGGAAACAGUACUCAAGAGACAUUUACAGUGGGGUGUGCAGUUGAGAACAGUUCUCCAUCUACCUCUCAGUGCUCACCAGAAUUAUCCAAAGCGGGGCACUAUGCCAAUUCCAAGAAGCAGGCCAAAGAUAUCCUGGUAAGCAGCACAUUGUCAAUGCUGCGGGGCAAACAAACAGCAAUGAGGAUGACAAGUUGGGCCAGUAUGUUGCAGCUGAGCUGAUUACAACUAAAAAUAGAAAAUUGAAGGCAGAGAGACAGUGCCUUAUCACGAAUGCCAUCAUGGGUGCAAUUCAGAAAGUUACUGAUUGUUAAUUUUUAAAUAAAAGAUUGAA